GACAGAGGGUGCAAACGUUGUUCGGAAUUACUGGGCGUAAAGCGCACGUAGGCGGCUUUGUAAGUUAGAGGUGAAAGCCCGGAGCUCAACUCCGGAAUUGCCUUUAAGACUGCAUCGCUCGAAUCAUGGAGAGGUGAGUGGAAUUCCGAGUGUAGAGGUGAAAUUCGUAGAUAUUCGGAGGAACACCAGUGGCGAAGGCGACUCACUGGACAUGUAUUGACGCUGAGGUGCGAAAGCGUGGGGAGCAAACAGG
rnacentral:rRNA from 1 species